GAAUCCCGUCUUUGACACGGACUGCCAGGGCUUUGUGAUGUGCUCUCGAAGAGUCGAGUUGUUUGGGAAUGCAGCUCAAAAUGGGUGGUAAAUUCCAUCUAAAGCUAAAUAUUGGCGAGAGACCGAUAGCGAACAAGUACCGUGAGGGAAAGAUGAAAAGAACUUUGGAAAGAGAGUUAAACAGUACGUGAAAUUGCUGAAAGGGAAACGCUUGAAGUCAGUCGCGUUGGCCAGGGAUCAACCUUGCUUUUUUGCUUGGCUUACUUUCUGGUCGAUGGGUCAGCAUCAAUUUUGACCGGUGGAAAAAGUUCAAGGGAAUGUGGCAUCUUCGGAUGUGUUAUAGCCUUUGUUCGCAUACAUUGGUUGGGAUUGAGGAACUCAGCACGCCGCAAGGCCGGGUUUUUAACCACGUACGUGCUUAGGAUGCUGGCAUAAUGGCUUUAAUCGACCCGUCUUGAAACACGGACCAAGGAGUCUAACAUGCCUGCGAGUGUUUGGGUGAAAAACCCGAGCGCGUAAUGAAAGUGAAAGUUGAGAUCCCUGUCGUAGGGAGCAUUGACGCCCGGAUCUGACCUUUUGUGACGAUUCUGCGGUAGAGCAUGUAUGUUGGGACCCGAAAGAUGGUGAACUAUGCCUGAAUAGGGUGAAGCCAGAGGAAACUCUGGUGGAGGCUCGUAGCGAUUCUGACGUGCAAAUCGAUCGUCAAAUUUGGGUAUAGGGGCGAAAGACUAAUCGAACCAUCUAGUAGCUGGUUCCUGCC
rnacentral:rRNA from 1 species